UUACGAAACAAAAUUAAUUUGUCAGCCUAAGGGGUACAGGCAUGGUCAAGACUCAGCUGACAAAGUACGAGUCCCUUUCGGGGGCUUCCCCGCUAAGGGCUAGGCAGGGGGCCGGCCGUGCGCCGCUGGGCGAGAGCGGCGCACUCGUCGAGCUCGUUAGGCGGCUGUCGGCUGCCCAAGCCCCGGACCUGGGGGCUCGGGUCAGGAGUCUCGGUUAGGAAAAGGGUUUCAAUGCCUAGGCAAAACGGCUGAAGGGAACGGAUGUAACAAGGUAACCGGUCUCCGACAAGUGGAACCUCUGGACUACGCCAAUACUCAUGCUGGCCCGCACUUGCCAUGAGCCAGGAGGCCUAAAAGUACCCGGCGGCCCCCGUGUGACCUGUGGCGCGCUGUACGCCACGAGAAGGCCGGUGACCUGGGAUGGAGGCCGACUUGGCAAAGGUCCCAACCGUCCGGCAAUUCGUCUUUU
rnacentral:rRNA from 1 species